UGUGAGAUAAAAUUUGCAAAUACCUUUAUUUUUUUUUUUUAACAGGCUUUCAAAGGUCUCCAAACUGAGUAAUUUUCAUUCCAGUUAGCGAGUUAAAUUUUUAAAAAAUGUCCCAAAGUACAAUAAUGGUAGAAAGCAUCCUCCUCCAUUACACUCAAGUGUAUAAUGAUGAUAAAGUAACUGCCCAUAGUAACUUUCCUGGAGCCAGGCAGUACCUAUUGUGAUCCGUCAUCCUGCUAAUACACAUAUAUAGUAUACAUAUCCUGUUGUUUAUAUAUAUUUGCAUUUAUUUAAUUUGAAGACA